rnacentral:rRNA from 1 species
UACAGAGGUCUCAAGCGUUGUUCGGAUUCAUUGGGCGUAAAGGGGUGCGUAGGUGGCGCCGUAAGUCAGGUGUGAAAUUUCGGAGCUUAACUCCGAAACUGCAUUUGAUACUGCGGUGCUUGAGGACUGGAGAGGAGACUGGAAUUUACGGUGUAGCAGUGAAAUGCGUAGAGAUCGUAAGGAAGACCAGUGGCGAAGGCGGGUCUCUGGACAGUUCCUGACACUGAGGCACGAAGGCCCAGGGGGAGCAAACGGG